rnacentral:rRNA from 1 species
GAUGAACGCUGGCGGCGUGCUUAACACAUGCAAGUCGAACGGAAAGGCUCCUGCUUGCAGGGGUACUCGAGUGGCGAACGGGUGAGUAACACGUGGGUGAUCUGCCCUGCACUUCGGGAUAAGCCUGGGAAACUGGGUCUAAUACCGGAUAGGACGAUGGCUUGGAUGCCAUUGUGGAAAGUUUUUCGGUGUGGGAUGAGCUCGCGGCCUAUCAGCUUGUUGGUGGGGUAAUGGCCUACCAAGGCGUCGACGGGUAGCCGGCCUGAGAGGGUGUACGGCCACAUUGGGACUGAGAUACGGCCCAGACUCCUACGGGAGGCAGCAGUGGGGAAUAUUGCACAAUGGGCGCAAGCCUGAUGCAGCGACGCCGCGUGGGGGAUGACGGCCUUCGGGUUGUAAACUCCUUUCGGCAGGGACGAAGCGAAAGUGACGGUACCUGGAGAAGAAGCACCGGCUAACUACGUG